rnacentral:rRNA from 1 species
GACGAACGCUGGCGGCAUGCUUAACACAUGCAAGUCGAACGGAAAGGCCCUGCUUGCAGGGUGCUCGAGUGGCGAACGGGUGAGUAACACGUGGGUGAUCUGCCCCUUACUUUGGGAUAAGCCUGGGAAACUGGGUCUAAUACUGGAUAGGACCAUGCUGUAGGUGGUGUGGUGGAAAGAUUAGUUUCGGUAAGGGAUGAGCUCGCGGCCUAUCAGCUUGUUGGUGGGGUAAUGGCCUACCAAGGCGUCGACGGGUAGCCGGCCUGAGAGGGUGGACGGCCACAUUGGGACUGAGAUACGGCCCAGACUCCUACGGGAGGCAGCAGUGGGGAAUAUUGCACAAUGGGCGCAAGCCUGAUGCAGCGACGCCGCGUGGGGGAUGACGGCCUUCGGGUUGUAAACUCCUUUCAGCCAUGACGAAGCCCUUGUGGUGACGGUAGUGGUAGAAGAAGCACCGGCUAACUACGUG